CCGUAUUCCCUGGCUCUGUUGCUCCUCCUCACAUGGCUGGCAGAUCUGGGCUUUUGAUGGCAACGCCUUCUUUCUCUCUCUUCUCUGUCAACCGCUUCUCAGAUUCUAAAAACUCUUCUCCACAGAGUCUGAGACGUUAGCCUCCAUGUUGAAAUUCAAGAGACAUACCAUGUCAUGGAAGCUGAAUCCAAAUGAAACUUCCCCAAGACUACAGCUCUUCAACAUGGAUGAAAAUGCCGGAGAAUAGUUCAAAUCCUUAAAAGUCUUUCAGUGAGGGUGGUGCCUCGUGAGACCUUUCCUGUGGCUGAUGAAAUGGUGAUGGAACCCAUCUUGCAUAGGGCUUCUGCAGGUUUUCUGUUCCCUCUUCCUUGAUUUUGCUGAGCCUUGCAGAACAUUUCCUUCGUCAAGCGACCACAGUAUACAGAGUUGGUUCCCAGCAACUCCUAGAGCUAGCACUGUUACAGGUA